rnacentral:rRNA from 1 species
GACGAACGCUGGCGGCGUGCCUAACACAUGCAAGUCGAACGGAAAGGCCCUGCUUUUGUGGGGUGCUCGAGUGGCGAACGGGUGAGUAACACGUGAGUAACCUGCCCUUGACUUUGGGAUAACUUCAGGAAACCGGGGCUAAUACCGGAUAGGAGCUCCUGCUGCAUGGUGGGGGUUGGAAAGUUUCGGCGGUUGGGGAUGGACUCGCGGCUUAUCAGCUUGUUGGUGGGGUAGUGGCUUACCAAGGCUUUGACGGGUAGCCGGCCUGAGAGGGUGACCGGCCACAUUGGGACUGAGGUACGGCCCAGACUCCUACGGGAGGCAGCAGUGGGGAAUAUUGCACAAUGGGCGGGAGCCUGAUGCAGCAACGCCGCGUGCGGGAUGACGGCCUUCGGGUUGUAAACCGCUUUCGCCUGUGACGAAGCGUGAGUGACGGUAAUGGGUAAAGAAGCACCGGCUAACUACGUG